rnacentral:rRNA from 1 species
UAAGGAAUAUUGCUCAAUGGGAGAAAUCCUGAAGCAGCAACGCCGCGUGGAGGAUGAAGGGUCUAUGACUUGUAAACUCCUGUAAAGAAGGAAAAAAUUCCCAUUAGAUGGGAGAUGAUGGUACUUCUGGAGUAAGCCCCGGCUAACUACGUGCCAGCAGCCGCGGUAAUACGUAGGGGGCAAGCGUUGUCCGGAUUUACUGGGUGUAACGGGUGCUCAGGCGGAUUUGUAAGUCAGAGGUGAAAUCUUACAGCUUAACUGUGAAACUGCCUGUGAUACUGCAAGCCUAGAGUAUGGAAGAGAGUGAUGGAAUAUCUGGUGUAACAUUGAAAUUCGUAGAUAUCAGAUAGAACACCAAUGGCGAAGGCAGUCACUUGGUCCAUUACUGACGCUAAAGCACGAAAGCGUGGGUAGCAAACA